AGUGAACGCUGGCGGUAGGCCUAACACAUGCAAGUCGAACGGCAGCACAGUAAGAGCUUGCUCUUACGGGUGGCGAGUGGCGGACGGGUGAGGAAUACAUCGGAAUCUACUUUUUCGUGGGGGAUAACGUAGGGAAACUUACGCUAAUACCGCAUACGACCUACGGGUGAAAGCAGGGGAUCUUCGGACCUUGCGCGAUUGAAUGAGCCGAUGUCGGAUUAGCUAGUUGGCGGGGUAAAGGCCCACCAAGGCGACGAUCCGUAGCUGGUCUGAGAGGAUGAUCAGCGACACUGGAACUGAGACACGGUCCAGACUCCUACGGGAGGCAGCAGUGGGGAAUAUUGGACAAUGGGCGCAAGCCUGAUCCAGCCAUACCGCGUGGGUGAAGAAGGCCUUCGGGUUGUAAAGCCCUUUUGUUGGGAAAGAAAAGCAGCAGGUUAAUACCCCGCUGUUCUGACGGUACCCAAAGAAUAAGCACCGGCUAACCUCGUG
rnacentral:rRNA from 1 species